GAUGAACGCUGGCGGCGUGCCUAAUACAUGCAAGUCGAGCGAAGCGGGGACGGGUGAGUAACACGUGGAUAACCUCCUAUAAGACUGGGAUACCUUCGGGAAACCGUAGCUAAACCGGAUACUUAUCGAAUGAUCCGCGCUGCAUUAGCUAGUGGGUAAGGUAACGGCUUACCAAGGCAACGAUGCAUAGCCGACCUGAGAGGGUGAUCAGCCACACUGGAACUGAGACACGGUCCAGACUCCUACGGGAGGCAGCAGUAGGGAAUCUUCCGCAAUGGGCGAAAGCCUGACGGAGCAACGCCGCGUGAGUGAUGAAGGUCUUCGGAUCGUAAAACUCUUUUAUUAGGGAAGCGGUACCUAAACAGAAAGCACCGGCUAACUACGUGCCAGCAGCCGCGGUAAUUC
rnacentral:rRNA from 1 species